AGUGAACGCUGGCGGUAGGCCUAACACAUGCAAGUCGAACGGCAGCACAGUAAGAGCUUGCUCUUACGGGUGGCGAGUGGCGGACGGGUGAGGAAUACAUCGGAAUCUACUUUUUCGUGGGGGAUAACGUAGGGAAACUUACGCUAAUACCGCAUACGACCUACGGGUGAAAGCAGGGGGUCUUCGGACCUUGCGCGAUUGAAUGAGCCGAUGUCGGAUUAGCUAGUUGGCGGGGUAAAGGCCCACCAAGGCGACGAUCCGUAGCUGGCCUGAGAGGAUGAUCAGCCACACUGGAACUGAGACACGGUCCAGACUCCUACGGGAGGCAGCAGUGGGGAAUAUUGGACAAUGGGCGCAAGCCUGAUCCAGCCAUACCGCGUGGGUGAAGAAGGCCUUCGGGUUGUAAAGCCCUUUUGUUGGGAAAGAAAAGCAGCAGGUUAAUACCCCGCUGUUCUGACGGUACCCAAAGAAUAAGCACCGGCUAACUUCGUG
rnacentral:rRNA from 1 species